rnacentral:ncRNA from 1 species
GAAGGUUAGGGGAUCGAAAACGAUUAGAUACCGUUGUAGUCUUAACAGUAAACUAUGCCGACUAGGGAUCGGAUGGGGUUAAUUUUACAACCCAUUCGGCACCUUGCGAGAAAUCAAAGUCUUUGGGU